AAACUCAAUUAACAAAAAAAAUAGGCAUUGACCAAUGAUAUCAAAGUACUCAUAUCACAAUCUCCACCAUUGGAUCAGAUUAAUCCAACAGACCAGAUAUAAUCCCUCUUUAUCUUUCUCUUUCCUCUCCAGUUUUUUCUUCUACGACACUCAUUCUCUGUGCUUCUUCUUCUUCUUCUUCUUCUUCUUCUUCUUCUUCUCUCAUAUCUUUGGUUCAUUUAUAUCUCUACACAUCUCCUCUUUCAAUUUCAUCUCCUCUUCACCACCACACCGUCGGCCUUCACGUUUGUCACCACCGCCCUCUUUUGAUUCCAUCGUGUCUCCGCCCCCAUCACCACCAUCGAGAAGGGGAGCAGUGAUGAAACAGAAAGAACAAGUGGUGGUGUUGCGGCAUCUCCGGUUAAGCGUGGUGCGGCAGUGGUGCAAAAACCGGUGGUUUGUUGGUGGUUCGUGGACGGUGGCUGAAGUUUUCUGAAGGUGGCGAUCGUGGCUAAAGCUUUGUGAAGAUGGGAUGGCGGCUGAAGCGUAGAUUUAGGUUUAGUUAACUGGUUUAGUUAGUUUAACAUUAAUUAGUUGGUCUAGUUAGGGUUAGAGUAACAAUUUAUGUAUUAUUGGUUUAGUGUUGUAAACCAAAGUUUAUUGUAAACCGAAUUUAAUUUAUAAAUAAAAUUUAUUUUAUUUUUAAUUAUAAAACAA